rnacentral:rRNA from 1 species
CCGGGCGUUAUCCGGAUUUAUUGGGUUUAAAGGGAGCGUAGGCUGGAGAUUAAGUGUGUUGUGAAAUGUAGACGCUCAACGUCUGACUUGCAGCGCAUACUGGUUUCCUUGAGUACGCACAACGUUGGCGGAAUUCGUCGUGUAGCGGUGAAAUGCUUAGAUAUGACGAAGAACUCCGAUUGCGAAGGCAGCUGACGGGAGCGCAACUGACGCUGAAGCUCGAAGGUGCGGGUAUCGAACAGGAUUAGAUACCCUGGUAGUCCGCACAGUAAACGAUGGAUGCCCGCUGUUGGUACCUGGUAUCAGCGGCUAAGCGAAAGCAUUAAGCAUCCCACCUGGGGAGUACGCCGGCAACGGUGAAACUCAAAGGAAUUGACGGGGGCCCGCACAAGCGGAGGAACAUGUGGUUUAAUUCGAUGAUACGCGAGGAACCUUACCCGGGCUUGAAUUGCAGAGGAAGGAUUUAGAGAUAAUGACG